UCGCGGCUCUGCCCUGCGUUCCCGGGAUUUCUGCUCCUGCCUGGGCCCCCUCCCGGCCCCUAGCCCUGGGCUGCACCUGGAUCUGGGCUCAGGAAGGUGACUUUCUGCCCAGGGUCAGCUCUUCAUGUCUUGUGAGCCCUGUGACCUUGACCGAGGGGCCUCCAUCUGCAUGUCGGCGUGCACAUCUGUGAAACGGAGCUGCAGCUCAGGCAGGGGCCAAGAUUCACAGAGAUUUGCCUCUGCAUGCUCCCUGGAAAUGGGGUCAGCAAGGACCAAGAUACAGACCCCAGGGAAGAUGGCGACCUCCAGGUCCAAAAGGAAGAGCAGAAAAUUCAUCUCCAUGGCAACGCCUUAGGAAGCUGCAGCCUCAAGAUUAUAACUUCCCAAGCAAUGAAGACAAUAAAUGGAUUUUUCACAAAA
ensembl:lncRNA novel transcript